UACAGAGGGUGCGAGCGUUGUCCGGAAUCACUGGGCGUAAAGGGCGCGUAGGCGGCCUUCUAAGUCGAACGUGAAAUCCCUGGGCUCAACCCAGGAACUGCGUCCGAUACUGGAAGGCUUGAAUCCGGGAGAGGGAUGCGGAAUUCCAGGUGUAGCGGUGAAAUGCGUAGAUAUCAGGAAGAACACCAAUGGCGAAGGCAGCUCUCUGGGACGGUACUGACGCUGAGACGCGAAAGCGUGGGGAGCGAACAGG
rnacentral:rRNA from 1 species